GCGUCUCAGACCCCAUAACGGGAGGAGUAGAGACAAGAGAAGACUCGGCCUCAGACAUCAAUUCGCUGCUUAAUAGGGAAAACCAAAUCCCUCAUCUUUUUAUAGAAACAGGGGAGGGGAUUUGUUUCAACUACUGAUCGGCGCUUUGUUGUGUAAUGUAAUAAGCAGUAACAUUAUCUUAUUUGGAUUUCAAACAGCGCGCACACCUUUUUUAUUUCACCAUGCCGUUUGAGCUAUGUCGCCAACCAAUAAAAUAAUUUAUCUUCAGUGUAAGCGGAAGUGAGCAGUGACCAAGAACAACUUCCACGUUAGUGUUUUCAUUUUUGUUACUUAGACGUUUAUUAACGCACUAGAACAAAACAUAUAAUUUAACUGCAAGCAGUUUAAUUUGCGUUGGAGACAGGACUUGCUUGAUAGAUGUUAUCUAAGUAACGCCAGCUAGCUUCUAACAAUGCCGAACUUUAACGGUAUGGGCUUUCACACUCAGAUAGCCUCCAUUAUGGAGGUGCUAGCGAAUGCAGCCGUGGCAGAGAUCUGUAAACUCGUAGACGACGACUAUGCAGUGUUUAGUUUGGAAAUAACUCAAAGCCAGAGAGAAAACAGGGGAUUGUGGAGGAAACUACAGCUACUGAAGGUGGCACGGGACCGCGCAGAGGACAAUGCGUCGUACCAGUAGUGUCAAGAUCCUUGACCGGUACAGAGGAAUGGCAAGAGGUGAAUGACAUCUCACUGGAGGCCAUAGGUGCUUUGUGAAGCCAGCGGGACACAAUACAUGUAGAGAUGACCAACCAAAUCACUGUUGAUGAGGGGAGUGGAACCUCAACCCAGCACAUGAUAGAGGCUACAGGUUCUGGGGUCAAGCUGGAGGGGAGGACCUGCGGCACAGCAGAGACAUCCAGACUGGAGAGGCUGGCGCGACCCCUGUAGCCACAGAGGAACCCACCACCACCCCAGUGCAGCCCAGGACCCGCCGAUCGCCUUCCUCAAGUCAGAGACAGACACCCAAGGCUUUAACUGUAACACACAGGCUUUUACAUUUACAUUUACAUUACAUUUAAGUCAUUUAGCAGACGCUCUUAUCCAGAGCGACUUACAAAUUGGUGCAUUCACCUUAUGACAUCCAGUGGGACAGUCACUUAACAAU